AGCUCAGGACGAACGCUGGCGGCGUGCUUAACACAUGCAAGUCGAACGAUGAACCACUUCGGUGGGGAUUAGUGGCGAACGGGUGAGUAACACGUGGGCAAUCUGCCCUGCACUCUGGGACAAGCCCUGGAAACGGGGUCUAAUACCGGAUACUGAUCCUCGCAGGCAUCUGCGAGGUUCGAAAGCUCCGGCGGUGCAGGAUGAGCCCGCGGCCUAUCAGCUAGUUGGUGAGGUAACGGCUCACCAAGGCGACGACGGGUAGCCGGCCUGAGAGGGCGACCGGCCACACUGGGACUGAGACACGGCCCAGACUCCUACGGGAGGCAGCAGUGGGGAAUAUUGCACAAUGGGCGAAAGCCUGAUGCAGCGACGCCGCGUGAGGGAUGACGGCCUUCGGGUUGUAAACCUCUUUCAGCAGGGAAGAAGCGAAAGUGACGGUACCUGCAGAAGAAGCGCCGGCUAACUACGUGCCAGCAGCCGCGGUAAUACGUAGGGCGCAAGCGUUGUCCGGAAUUAUUGGGCGUAAAGAGCUCGUAGGCGGCUUGUCACGUCGGUUGUGAAAGCCCGGGGCUUAACCCCGGGUCUGCAGUCGAUACGGGCAGGCUAGAGUUCGGUAGGGGAGAUCGGAAUUCCUGGUGUAGCGGUGAAAUGCGCAGAUAUCAGGAGGAACACCGGUGGCGAAGGCGGAUCUCUGGGCCGAUACUGACGCUGAGGAGCGAAAGCGUGGGGAGCGAACAGGAUUAGAUACCCUGGUAGUCCACGCCGUAAACGGUGGGCACUAGGUGUGGGCAACAUUCCACGUUGUCCGUGCCGCAGCUAACGCAUUAAGUGCCCCGCCUGGGGAGUACGGCCGCAAGGCUAAACU
rnacentral:rRNA from 1 species